rnacentral:rRNA from 1 species
UACGAAGGGGGCUAGCGUUGCUCGGAAUUACUGGGCGUAAAGCGCACGUAGGCGGAUUGUUAAGUCGGGGGUGAAAUCCUGGAGCUCAACUCCAGAACUGCCUUCGAUACUGGCGAUCUAGAGUCCGGGAGAGGUGAGUGGAACUGCGAGUGUAGAGGUGAAAUUCGUAGAUAUUCGCAAGAACACCAGUGGCGAAGGCGGCUCACUGACCCGGUACUGACGCUGAGGUGCGAAAGCGUGGGGAGCAAACAGG